UACGUAGGGUGCGAGCGUUAAUCGGAAUUACUGGGCGUAAAGCGUGCGCAGGCGGUUUUGUAAGCCAGAUGUGAAAUCCCCGGGCUUAACCUGGGAAUGGCAUUUGGGACUGCAAGGCUUGAGUGCGGCAGAGGAGACUGGAAUUCCUGGUGUAGCAGUGAAAUGCGUAGAUAUCAGGAGGAACACCGAUGGCGAAGGCAGGUCUCUGGGCUGACACUGACGCUCAUGCACGAAAGCGUGGGGAGCGAAACAACGGAUU
rnacentral:rRNA from 1 species